CCUCGGGUGGUUGCAGUGGGGGAUAUUGCACAAUGGGGGGAACCCUGAUGCAGCGACGCCGCGUGGGUGAAGAAGCGCCUCGGCGCGUAAAGCCCUGUCAGCAGGGAAGAAAAUGACGGUACCUGAAGAAGAAGCCCCGGCUAACUACGUGCCAGCAGCCGCGGUAAUACGUAGGGGGCAAGCGUUAUCCGGAUUUACUGGGUGUAAAGGGAGCGUAGACGGUCCUGCAAGCCAGAUGUGAAAGCCCGGGGCUCAACCCCGGGACUGCAUUUGGAACUGUAAGGCUAGAGUGUCGGAGAGGCAGGCGGAAUGCCUAGUGUAGCGGUGAAAUGCGUAGAUAUUAGGAGGAACACCAGUGGCGAAGGCGGCCUGCUGGACGAUGACUGACGUUGAGGCUCGAAAGCGUGGGGAGCAAACAGGAUUAGAUACCCGGGUAGUC
rnacentral:rRNA from 1 species